UACGUAGGGUGCGAGCGUUGUCCGGAAUUACUGGGCGUAAAGAGCUCGUAGGUGGUUUGUCGCGUUGUCCGUGAAAACUCACAGCUUAACUGUGGGCGUGCGGGCGAUACGGGCAGACUGGAGUACUGCAGGGGAGACUGGAAUUCCUGGUGUAGCGGUGGAAUGCGCAGAUAUCAGGAGGAACACCGGUGGCGAAGGCGGGUCUCUGGGCCGAGUAACUGACGCUGGAGGAGCGAAAGCUA
rnacentral:rRNA from 1 species